GCUAUGAGAGUGCGUUAUAAAGUGUCGGACGAGCGAAGUCGAGGGCACAUUCGAUGUAGGAAAACUGUUCCAGCAAUAUGCACUGGUCGCUGCUCAUCGGAGGUAUGGCUGUGAUACUCAGUCUGAUCGGAAGUAGAUUCUGGGUGUCUGGUGCCGAGCAGCCCACUCUCUAUCCUUGGGAAAAGGAGCCAGUGACAAAGCACAGCAAGCCCUUUAGGGUAUCUGGAGAUAUCUAAAGCUCUGUGAAGGGUCUCCUUGGGUUGAUAUGAAAAGUAUUAUAUUAUAUUUGUUCUUGAAAUAAAUGAAAUUACAAAACCA